rnacentral:rRNA from 1 species
AUUGAACGCUGGCGGCAGGCCUAACACAUGCAAGUCGAACGAGUGGCGGACGUGUGAGUAAUGUCUGGGAAACUGCCCGAUGGAGGGGGAUAACUACUGGAAACGGUAUCUAAUACCGCAUACCAUCGGAUGUUCCCAGAUGGGAUUAUCUAGUAGGUGGUGUAACGGCUCACCUAGGCGAAGAUCCCUAGCUGAUCUGAGAGGAUGACCAGCCACACUGGAACUGCGACACGGUCCAGGCGCCUACGGGAGGCAGCAGUGGGGAAUAUUGCGCAAGGGGCGCAGGCCAUAUGCAGCCAGGCCGCGUGUAUGAAGAAGGCCUUCGGGUUGUAAAAUACUUUCGGCGAGGAGGCGUUACUCACAGAAGAAGCACCGGCUAACUCCGUGCCAGCAGCCGCGGUAAUUC